rnacentral:sRNA from 13 species
GCUCGAGGCUUCCUGCGAAUACCCGCCCGCUCUCAUUAAAGAAUACGGCGAACAAAAUCGUCUGCUCCGCCCUCCUCUUCUCGUUGCGGCCGGCGCUGGUUCGGGAGGCGGCGGCUGCCCA